AUGGUCAACGAGGAAUUGUUCUGGCUCCAACAAUCCCAUGAGACAUGGCUGUUGAAGGGAGACCAGAACACUGCUUUUUUCCAUAGGAUUGCCAAUGAAAAGAAAAGAAAGAAUACCAUUCAUUCCUUCUCGUGUGGUGACACUGUGAUUGAAGGGACAGAUAAGUUACUCAAACAUGCCACAGAUUUUUAUAAAGAACUCUUCGGGCCAGCCCCAAGAAACAUCUUCCUUUUAGACCCUGACACUUGGGGGCAGGAUGAAAAACUAACAGCUGAGGAAAAUGAGUUUUUGACCAGACCUUUUAGUGAGGAGGAAGUUAAGAAGGCCUUAUUCUCCAUGAAAAGCAACAGAGCACCUGGCCCUGACAACAUUCCAGCAGAAUUCUACCGAUUUUGCUGUUGUCAAACAGGAUAUUAUGAACCUGUUUGUUGCAUUUCAUGA
rnacentral:rRNA from 1 species